UUCAGCUUUAAACUCUCUUCUCUUGUCUGUCCAUCCUAGGUCCUGGAAUCUUCAGUAAGUUUCUAGGAAAAUUGGUAAGAGUAACUGGUAAGAAUUAAGGGAAGAAAGGAGGCUUGCUCAGGACAGAGUUGAAGCAUGAGCACAAAAGACCUAUUCCGGAAGAACAUUCUCUUGUGAAGUUCCACCCGUACUGGCGGACCCAAGAACAUCAAUAGAGGACAGACAUAGAGAAAAGUCCAGAUCCUGUUGCCCACCAGCAAUCAUGCACAGACAGUGCAAAAAUGACAGCGAUGCUCUUUAGGCCAAUCAUCCACGGUGGGCUGAAGCACAUACUGGAGUGCGGACACAGUUCUCCCGGGGCUGCCUGCUGAGAAUGUGCAUGAGGACAUGUCAUGUGCACUUUUGUUGCCAACCAACACCUCAGCAGCAGAGCUGUUCAAGUCCUUGAAUGACUGAUUACACAGAGGGAAAAUUGAUGGGUCAUUUUGUAUGUAUACAUGCACAAACA
rnacentral:lncRNA from 1 species